CCUACGGGAGGCAGCAGUGGGGAAUAUUGGACAAUGGGGGGAACCCUGAUCCAGCCAUGCCGCGUGUGUGAAGAAGGUCUUCGGAUUGUAAAGCACUUUAAGUUGGGAGGAAGGGUUUUUGGUUAAUACCCAAGAAUUUUGACGUUACCAACAGAAUAAGCACCGGCUAACUUCGUGCCAGCAGCCGCGGUAAU
rnacentral:rRNA from 1 species